rnacentral:rRNA from 1 species
UGAGUACACGUGGGAACGUACCUUUCGGUUCGGAAUAAUCCAGGGAAACUUGGACUAAUACCGGCUACGCCCUUCGGGGGAAAGAUUUAUCGCCGAAAGAUCGGCCCGCGUCUGAUUAGCUAGUUGGUGAGGUAAAGGCUCACCAAGGCGACGAUCAGUAGCUGGUCUGAGAGGAUGAUCAGCCACAUUGGGACUGAGACACGGCCCAAACUCCUACGGGAGGCAGCAGUGGGGAAUAUUGGACAAUGGGCGAAAGCCUGAUCCAGCCAUGCCGCGUGAGUGAUGAAGGCCUUAGGGUUGUAAAGCUCUUUUGUCCGGGAAGAUAAUGACUGUACCGGAAGAAUAAGCCCCGGCUAACUUCGUGCCAGCAGCCGC